CGCGGCCUAUCAGCUUGUUGGUGAGGUAAUGGCUCACCAAGGCGACGACGGGUAGCCGGCCUGAGAGGGCGACCGGCCACACUGGGACUGAGACACGGCCCAGACUCCUACGGGAGGCAGCAGUGGGGAAUAUUGCACAAUGGGCGAAAGCCUGAUGCAGCGACGCCGCGUGAGGGAUGACGGCCUUCGGGUUGUAAACCUCUUUCAGCAGGGAAGAAGCGAAAGUGACAGUACCUGCAGAAGAAGCGCCGGCUAACUACGUGCCAGCAGCCGCGGUAAUACGUAGGGCGCAAGCGUUGUCCGGAAUUAUUGGGCGUAAAGAGCUCGUAGGCGGCUUGUCACGUCGGGUGUGAAAGCCCGGGGCUUAACCCCGGGUCUGCAUUCGAUACGGGCUAGCUAGAGUGUGGUAGGGGAGAUCGGAAUUCCUGGUGUAGCGGUGAAAUGCGCAGAUAUCAGGAGGAACACCGGUGGCGAAGGCGGAUCUCUGGGCCAUUACUGACGCUGAGGAGCGAAAGCGUGGGGAGCGAACAGGAUUAGAUACCCUGGUAGUCCACGCCGUAAACGGUGGGAACUAGGUGUUGGCGACAUUCCACGUCGUCGGUGCCGCAGCUAACGCAUUAAGUUCCCCGCC
rnacentral:rRNA from 1 species